CGGGGCAGCUGGGCGGACGUCCCUCCCGACUCCAUAACACGCCAAAACCCCCCAGUCACGUUGCUGCUGUGUAUUUUGGAGAUAGAUAAUCUUAUGGCGGGUGUGAACGGCUGUGUGAGUUAAAUGAACGCAGAAGGAAAAUGGAAAGCUUUCAGAGCCUAGACGCUCAUAUUGGAUGUGCGUAAACACGCGCCCGCCUUCUCAGCACAAAGUGCAUUACUGAGAUUUAUUCUUAAUUUUUUACGUUACUCUUUCAAGUUUGACGCUUCGCUUCAGGCUUCAUGGAGCCAGGCAGCAAGACGUGCGGCGGCAGGGCGAGGGCUGUAGCUGCUGCGGCGGAUCUGUAAGCGGAGGUUCCGGUUCCGGUACAACUUUGCCCCGCAGCCUCACGGGGUUAUCUCCCCGCAGCGGUGCCAUAAGGAAGGGAUGAGACGUUUUCCGACACCAGCCAGAGCGUUCAGUGUUACGCGAAGAAUCUGUUCAAAAUGGUAUCGAUGUCUUCUCAGUGUCUCGUGAUGCUCAAGAGAUGCCCCCCGGCCCGGGUUUGCCUGCCGGUCGUUAAGCGUGGUGAAGGAGCAAAAAUCACCGAUUUCUGUGUUGUGGAAAGGGCCAAAGAGACCCAGAAGUGAACUGUUUGGAAAAGCAAUCCCAACUUUUUACCCUAUGGAAAAGCAAAAAAAGCCAAAGGAACAAACCCCAGAAAACCCCAACAACAAAAAAAGCCAAGCCAUCCAAACAGAAAUCACCAACACCAAGCGAACGCCCCAAAAACCCCAAAUUGGGGAAAAUUUGGGGUGAAACACCGGCAGUUUGAGGGGCAUUGCUGGGGCUUAUCCGGAAUGGAUUCUCCGGAGUGGGUCGGUUAUCUGGAGCGGAUCAUCUGCUGCAGGUGAGCCCAGGUGAGUUGCCCGUUGUGGAUUAUCCUGGGGGGACCCCCCUGGUGUCAGUCAUCCCCAUGCAUGUUCCCCAUGGCGUGUCUGCCCAGACAUGCCCCUGUCCGGCAGUGUCCGCCUCCUCCCCCGCCCUCCCUCUGCGUGUGUCUGUGCCCUCCCAGACGCUGUCCCCUGAGAUGGCCCCCCUGCAUGACUUUUUUUCCCCGGUGACAUUCCUCCCCCCCGCUUCCCCUGGCCUCCUGUUCUGUGCUCGCUGAAGCCUCGUGCUUACGCAGGAUGAGCAGUGGCGAGGCGAGGCGCUGCCAAGCCAACGAAGCCCAAGGCUCAGCAGCGCACAACUCCUUUGCAGGGCAGCCGCUGGCAUCUGGUCUGCCU